rnacentral:rRNA from 1 species
UACGUAGGGUCCGAGCGUUGUCCGGAAUUACUGGGCGUAAAGCGUGCGCAGGCGGUUCGUUGUGUCGGCGGUGAAAGCCCCGGGCUUAACCUGGGAAUGGCCGUUGAAACUGGCGAACUGGAGUGUGGCAGAGGGGGGUGGAAUUCCGCGUGUAGCAGUGAAAUGCGUAGAGAUGCGGAGGAACACCGAUGGCGAAGGCAGCCCCCUGGGCUAACACUGACGCUCAGGCACGAAAGCGUGGGGAGCAAACAGG